UACGAAGGGGGCUAGCGUUGCUCGGAAUCACUGGGCGUAAAGGGUGCGUAGGCGGGUCUUUAAGUCAGGGGUGAAAUCCUGGAGCUCAACUCCAGAACUGCCUUUGAUACUGAGGAUCUUGAGUUCGGGAGAGGUGAGUGGAACUGCGAGUUGUAGAGGUGAAAUUCGUAGAUAUUCGCAAGAACACCAGUGGCGAAGGCGGCUCACUGGCCCGAUACUGACGCUGAGGCACGAAAGCGUGGGGAGCAAACAGG
rnacentral:rRNA from 1 species